rnacentral:rRNA from 1 species
UACGAAGGGGGCUAGCGUUGCUCGGAAUUACUGGGCGUAAAGCGUGCGCAGGCGGCUUCUCAAGUCAGGGGUGAAAGCCCAGAGCUCAACUCUGGAAUUGCCUUUGAGACUGAGUGGCUUGAGUACGAGAGAGGUGAGUGGAACUGCGAGUGUAGAGGUGAAAUUCGUAGAUAUUCGCAAGAACACCAGUGGCGAAGGCGGACUCACUGGCCCGAUACUGACGCUGAGGCACGAAAGCGUGGGGGAGCAAACAGG